rnacentral:rRNA from 1 species
UACGAAGGGGGCUAGCGUUGCUCGGAAUCACUGGGCGUAAAGGGUGCGUAGGCGGGUCUUUAAGUCAGGGGUGAAAUCCUGGAGCUCAACUCCAGAACUGCCUUUGAUACUGAGGAUCUUGAGUUCGGGAGAGGUGAGUGGAACUGCGAGUGUAGAGGUGAAAUUCGUAGAUAUUAGGAAGAACACCAGUGGCGAAGGCGGCUCACUGGCCCGGUACUGACGCUGAGGCGCGAAAGCGUGGGGAGCAAACAGG